UAACCAGUCGUGGUACGACGUGGCCUGUGACCCAACUCCUGAAAACCUGCUCGUGAGUUUUUCGUCUUUGAAUUUUGACUAAUUUUGGAUCUCCCUGUUUUUGUCACAGUUUUUGGUGCUUGGAUGCACUCACCCGUCUUGACGUCUUGUCCGAAGAGACAGAGCUACAGAAUCCUCCUGCUCAGAUUUUGCUCUGGCGCUCCCCUCAUACUCCCUGGAUGUUACCCAGCGGGGCCUGAGAUUCCCCCUCCCAGAUUCUGCUGGCUCUUCUCGCACUCUGGUCAAUCCAUCUGUCACCCACUGCCGAGGAGGCUCGCUCUGGAUCCCUCACCAGUAACAUCUGCCGCCCUCUGCCACUAGCCGCCUAACACCAACAGAGUAGGAUCACAGAGUUUCCUCGGCGCUACUUCUCCCCGGUUAGGUCCGCCCAGCUUUAUGUCUCUCCAGCCGUGACGUUCUGACCCUGUCGAAGUUGCCUGUAGUCCCGUCCGUUAUACCUGCCUGUUUCCUAAAUAAACAUCUUAAAACUG